GAGAUGUGUGAUGACGCAUAUCAAUAAGCGGAGGAAAAGAAACUAACAAGGAUUCCCCUAGUAACGGCGAGUGAAGCGGGAAGAGCUCAAAUUUGAAAUCUUCAAGGGUUUCCCUUGACGAAUUGUAGUUUAAAGAAGUGUUUUCUGUUGGAGUUUCGGUAAAAGUUCUUUGGAAUAGGACAUCAUAGAGGGUGAGAAUCCCGUAUUUGACCGUUACUUUCCAGCUGUGUGAUACACUUUCAAAGAGUCGGAUUGUUUGGGAAUGCAGUCCAAAAUGGGUGGUAAAUUUCAUCUAAAGCUAAAUAUUGGCGAGAGACCGAUAGCGAACAAGUACCGUGAGGGAAAGAUGAAAAGAACUUUGAAAAGAGAGUUAAACAGUACGUGAAAUUGUCAAAAGGGAAGCGUUUGACACCAGUGUUGUUUUUCCGAAAAUCAAUUACGAAUGUUUUAUUUUUGAGGAGUUAUGACUUCAUCGGCUUGCUUCUCUCUUUAUGAAACUUUCUUAAUGCACUUUUCGGUUAACAAGUCAACAUCAAUUUCUUUUGUUGUAAAAGGGUAUGAGGAAGGUGGCUUUCUUUUCGGAGAAAGUGUUUAUAGCCUUGUACCUCUGCAAUCGGAGAGAUUGAGGUCUGCAGCGUAGAUCCUUCGGGGUUAGAUACAUUUGUGCUAAGUUAUAGCUUUUCAUAGACAACUUGUUGACUAUGUUAAGUCUUGUAGCUUACUCGCUUAUGCUAUUUUACCUACGCUUAGGAUGUUGACGAUCAGCUGAGCGCG
rnacentral:rRNA from 1 species